rnacentral:rRNA from 1 species
UACGUAGGGGGCAAGCGUUGUCCGGAAUUAUUGGGCGUAAAGAGCGUGUAGGCGGCCCGGUAAGUCUGUUGUGAAAGUCCAGGGCUCAACCCUGGAAUGCCGAUGGAUACUGCCGGGCUAGAGUUCGGAAGAGGCGAGUGGAAUUCCUGGUGUAGCGGUGGAAUGCGCAGAUAUCAGGAGGAACACCUAUAGCGAAGGCAGCUCGCUGGGACGACACUGACGCUGAGACGCGAAAGCGUGGGGAGCGAACAGG